CCCUGCAUGAACAGCCGCUGCGAUGCGCAUCUCUGGAAUCUACCUGGAAUCUACCUGGAAUCUACCUGGAAUCUACCUGGAAUCCCCUGGUGGCCCCUAUGUCAGUCCCCCGAUGCUUUGGAGACAUUUUGAUUCAUUUCAUUGUGGCAUGUUUGGAUUUUUGCUGCGGUUCUAAUUAUUGCUACAAUAUUUUCUCUGAUGUUUAUUUUCUGAACUCUAAAUGCUGUGGGCCGAAUCUUUCUUUAACACUUGAGGUUCUGCAAUAAGUUCUAUUUACAGCUGCUGACCUCCAGCCCAGAUCUCGUCAGCAGCGGCUUUAACCCGCCUGGUAGAAACGUUAAGGAGAAGCAGAGCAAACAGUCAGCAGGUGGUACUGGGGCCUUGAGGUGCGUCGCGACUCGCGGUGACAGUCGGUACCGUGUCUUAUAUCAGGAUGUCUGAUAUAAAGACAGAUAUUCUUUAUAUCUGUCGCUGGAACCGACUAGACUGCCUGAAGCGAACCUGGCAAGAAGAAUAAAGUUAAAGUCAGAAAUUCUUUCUGCAACCAAAAGCGUUUCUGUGUUUAGGGGCGAGGAGGGUUUUGUCCCACUAUUGCAAGGACGAUUAUGAAAAUAUAAA